GAUAAUUCCACACUUGUAGCCUAUCCCUUCCCCUGCCACCCAUAUUUCUCUUCCUUUCUUAAUUUCCUUAUGAGAGUCCCUUUGUCACCUCUUCUUCCUCAAAAAGCUUUAAUUAAUUUUUUCAAAAAUAGUAUUAACAAUAAUGCAAUAAUUAAAUGAAAGUAUGUCUCUGGGUUGGCUGUAUCAUAAUGAAGUUCCCAUUUAGUGAUAAAAGGCAAGGAAAGGAGAAACAGUACUAGAUUCAUGAACAAGGACCCAACAAAAUGUGAAGUGUGAUGUGUGAAGCUUAGUGAUUACUAUAACAAGCCUAUGAUACACGGAUCACUUAGCAAGAAACCUGAUACAAAGACUACGCAUUCCUAAAUCAGAUGAACUCUAAAAUAAUAUCAUGAUGUUUAUUUGUGAACA
rnacentral:misc_RNA from 1 species